UGGUGGAGAAUCAUGGCGUUUCUACGUU
rnacentral:piRNA from 1 species